CUGACCGCUUUUGCCUAGUCUCGUGUAAUUUGAUUCUAAGCUCCUUUUGCCCCCACCAUGCAGCUCCAUGGAAACCCAUCACUUUCCACGCCGGCCCUUGUCAGCAGAGGAAUGAGUAAAUGAGGAGUGAGCAAAAAGCUUUAGCUGCACAUCUAGCAUCAGCAUGAACUGCAAAAGCAACAGAAACUACUCAGAAGAGCCUUCCUGCUCUCCAUUGCAGUGUCUAUCACCAGAGGGAUUAAGAUAAGAAUUCGAUAUUGCUGUCCUUCAAACUCUUUGGUUUAUGGGUAGAGGAGGCUACGUUUGGAAACUACAGCCUCCAAAACACAUGGAUAUAUCAUGGAGUACCUAUGACUGACAGUGGUUCUUUAGAAUUUCCUCUAGAGAUUCAGCCAGGAGACAAGACCACCAGAAGGAUGACAAUGCCUUUUGGGAAAACUAAACCAGUAGACAUUGGUAUUUUCUUGAACAGUCAUCCUCUUAAUGUUGAUAGCAAUUUA